UCGCGUUAGCCAGGCGCCGCGCAGCGCUUUACGGUAACGCUUGAUCCUUGCCUCGCGUUGUUCGACCCAUCGCACUCGGC
rnacentral:tRNA from 1 species